CGCAAACAAAUUAGGGUAGCAGUUCUGAGAAGCACUGCCGAUCGCCGUCCGUAACUAAGGAGAAUCAAACACAGGGCAAUUAGGAGAAGCACAGCCGAAGAAACACAGCAAACAAAUUAGUGCAGCAAAAGCGUCCUAAGGAGAAUCAAAACUAAAGCGAAAGGAAAUCUGAUUUUGUCUCUUUGCGUCUGCUUGGGGAGCUCAUUUCUGCGCACAAGAGAUUCAUCUCUACAUUGGGAGUCCUAGCUCCAAGAUGUUGUUGGUGAGAGUUGAACCCAAAGUACUGACUUUAGGUCAAGUGCUCGACCACUUGAGCUAGCCCACGGGACUUACUAUUGUUUGUUUAUCUGCACAUAAAGUGUACUGACUUUAGGUCAGGUGUUCGACCACUGUACUUGAGCAAGCCUGUAGGGCUUACUAUUGUUUGUUUAUCUGCACAUAAAGUUUUCUGAAAACCUACUUCAAUACAAGAGUUUACCAGAGGUGAUGAUGCAAAGAACAGACAACUCAAGACUUCUGCUAAGAACUUUGAGAAGCCAUUAUAUUCUUGUAUCUUACCAUCCAGGAUAACAUGCAUUCAAUUAUUUGCUUCAAUUCAUUUCUUAAACUUGUCAGGGAUAUGAUGAUAUGUCAAUCUUCAAUUCAUUUCUGUGGAGCCACCAGCGAGAGCAAGACCACUUUUUUCCAUCCCAGUGUCACACUCUAUCUGGGCUGUCUGUCUGUCUAUGUUUUGUUUUAAGGUUUUCCAGUGAUUAUUGUUUUUUUUACUGACUUGUCACAAAUGAGUGACACUUGAGUAAUUUCAUGUUUACUGUAUGUUUAGCUAGGCAUGAAGCUGAGCUCCAAGAAGCUGCUCCUAAUAAUUUCCCACUUUCUUGAUGUUUCUCUGUAUGUUUUCCGAGCCUAAAAAAACGCGCACUAAGAAAAAUUAAUUUACUAUGCU